GGAAUCUUAAAAUAGUUUAUCUGCUUCCCCUUAGUUAAUAGAAUACACAGGGUUAUAAAUUCCCAUACCUUUUUCCCUACCAAUUUUCAUUAUAAAAGCAACUGGUUGUUACCCAAACAGUAUAAAAGUUCAAUUUUUUCAUAAAGAUGAACUUAAAAUUUUCUCUGAUUGAUAUAUGAAAAUAAACCAAUUUUUAGAGGAACUUAUUCACAAAUAACUAUUACGAAUUUAUAAAGUAUAAUUUGCUUUUUGGUUAGGAUCUUUGGAUCAAUGGGAUUAAAAAUAGAAGAGGUAUAGCUGACAAUCAUGUGUCAUUUCAACUUUUUCCCCCCACACUAAAAGUAACCUAACUCUGAGGGGUAAAAUUAUCAUGGCACUUUAA
rnacentral:lncRNA from 1 species